rnacentral:rRNA from 1 species
GAUGAACGCUAGCGGCAGGCCUAACACAUGCAAGUCGAGGGGUAACAUAGGAAAGCUUGCUUUUCUGAUGACGACCGGCGCACGGGUGCGUAACGCGUAUACAACCUACCUUUUAGCGGGGAAUAGCCAGGGAAACUUGGAUUAAUGCCCCAUAGUAUAUAGACUUCUCCUGAAGUUUAUAUUAAACAUUUAUGGCUAUUAGAUGGGUAUGCGUCCUAUUAGUUAGUUGGUAAGGUAACGGCUUACCAAGGCAGCGAUAGGUAGGGGUCCUGAGAGGGAGAUCCCCACACUGGUACUGAGACACGGACCAGACUCCUACGGGAGGCAGCAGUGAGGAAUAUUGGACAAUGGGCGAGAGCCUGAUCCAGCCAUGCCGCGUGCAGGAAGACUGCCCUAUGGGUUGUAAACUGCUUUUACAGAGGAAGAACCACCCCCACGUGUGGGGGUUUGACGGUACUCUGCGAAUAAGGAUCGGCUAACUCCGUG